GAUGAAGAACGUAGCGAAAUGCGAUAAGUAAUGUGAAUUGCAGAAUUCAGUGAAUCUUCGAAUCUUUGAACGCACAUUGCGCCCAUUAGUAUUCUAGUGGGCAUGCCUGUUCGAGCGUCAUUUCAACCCUUAAGCCUAGCUUAGUAUUGGGAAUCGACUUUACUGUCGUUCCUCAAAUUCAACGGCGGAUUUAUAGCAAUCUCUGAACGUAGUAAUUUUUUUUCUCGUUUUUGAAAUACUAUAAACCUCAGCCGCUAAACCCCCAAUUUCUUAUGGUUGACCUCGGAUCAGGUAGGAAUACCCGCUGAACUUAAGCAUAUCAAUAAGCGGAGGA
rnacentral:misc_RNA from 1 species